UGAUCACACAAUACUCUCUUUUCGACAUGGAAGAAAGAGGCUACCAACACUUACAGUGGCAACACAAAGAUGAUUAUCUUAUGCAUGAUCAAGCUCUCCCAGGACCAAGUGCCCCUCCUGCACCUCUUCCAGUGACAGGUUUUGGGACCCUGGAGAGCAAUCUACAGCCGCCAGUUGCUAGGGAGAAUGCUCCACUGCUACCAUACACUCCUGAAGUGAAUGCAACGACAAAAGUAUUCAGUCUAGAGAAGUUUGUGUUUCUAUGGCUAGGAAUUGGUCAUAAAUAUUGGGGGCUGUGCCUUGUGGUGUUUUUGCUCCUAUAUGCCGUGGGAAUUGUCACAAUUAUUUGGUCAGCACUCUUUCUUUCAUUUUGGCCUUAUUCAAAUCCAGAUCUGUAUUGUAAUUAUAAUCUUCAACAAAAUUAUAUUUUGUGCCUUCUUUCUGGAGUCUUGUUCCUUUUGAUUGGAAGUUACUGGCCAAUUGCUUACUGCUGGAAAAUAAGGCAGGGUCGCAACUUCAAAAUUCUAGGCUGCUACUUGUGUGUUUUGUCAGUAUUAAUCGUCUCUUGUGUGGCAGCAUUGAUCGCGACAAUGGCAUUUGUCGCGACAAUGUUCGGUAGUCGAUGUUUUGACAGUCUUUCACUUGGUGCUUCUAUCACUAUGGGACUUGUAAUUUUAAUAUUUUUGUGUGGCUCUAGUGUUUUUUUUUAUUUUUAUAGCAACAAAAUUAGUAGAAUUUAUUAGGUUAAAGAGACGGAUAUUUUAAGUGUGAAUUUAUGUGUUGAUUAUUGUGAUUCUGGAAGCUGUAUAAUGGUCACUAUUAAAACGAGUGAUGCAAGCUGCGCUGUGCUAAUGCCUCUCGCCAUGUUUUGCUUCGCUCAGGUAUUAAUUAUAAAAGACAGCAUUGCACAUUAUUUAAUUAAUGCAGGGAGUGAGCCAGGGACCCUUGGUGGGUGAGGUGGGCGAGAUUGUAAAUACCACGCCGUGGUAUGGGCUCCAUUUAAAUUAAUUAAUAUAACCAGUCCACAAGGUGGUUUAUUUACUGAUUCACUCCGUAUCCUAGGUGAUGUUCAGUAUAUAAGUUUUGUUUCUUUUGACAGAUGUUUUGCAUGCGGCUGGAAUAAAUGUACUAAAAGAGAUUUCGUCGAAACUUUACACUCUCGGGGGUUUCUGCAAACAAUGCUCUUCUCGCUACCCCUGGCUAUAGUAUAGGCGCGGGUGCUUCCUGCCUUUUCUGAAAGGCAUAUCCAACUACACAUAACCUCGAUGCUACGAGUGCUUCACAGAUUUUAAGACGGCACACUGUGUCAAUGCUAAUGAUGAUAGGGCUAUGAUACGAUCCAUCUGUACAUGCUGUAUAUGCCACUAGUUGUUGGUGGUAGCUGUGCAUGUGUGUUUGUGUUGUGCAGCUCAGUUUGUUUGUGCUCAUAUCGUAAAAUGUUGGGAAGAAUUUGUUGAAUCUGCAUGGCUAAAAUUCAUUUUUAAUAGCAUGGAAUUAUCAUUGGGACCCUUUGAGUGCAUGGGUGUGCAUACGAUCUCUUUGGAAGUACAGUCCUAGAACUUCCUCCUACAAAAACAAAAUCUUUUGUGGUAUUAAACAGAUGCUUUUGGUCAAUUAAAUGGACUAGAUGGUAUACCAUCUUAUUAUGGGAGAAAGAAGCUACCAACGGUGGCAACACAAAAAAGAGAAGAAAAAUCUCACGCGGCUGAUCAAGCCCCUUUUCCAGGGACAGGUGAAUUGGGGCCCAGGAGAGCAAUCCGCCAUGCAGCCACCAAAAGGGAGAAUGCUUCUGAGUCCACUGCUACCAGACACUCCUGAAGUGAAUGCAGAAACGGAAGUGUUCAGUCUAGAGAAGUUUGUGUUUAUAAUUAUGGCUAGGAAUUGGUCGUAAAUAUUGUGAGUGGACCCAGUGCAGUGAUACCUAUGGUUAGGAAUUGGUAUUGUAAGUUUAUUCUGCAUGGAUGGUUGUUACAACACUUAUAGACAUGUCUGCUCUUUGUGUAUUAUGAUUACUUUAAUUAUUAGUUACUGCGUAACCAGAAAAAUGUCAUUCUCCAUAAACGAUGAACUAUUGUGUUUGUUACUCACGUAUAUACAGCUGAACUGUGCCUUGUGGUGUUUUUGCUCAUAUGCCUGGGGCAUUGUCUUAGUUAUUUUUACAGGUGAGUAUUAUUUUGCAUAGCACAAUUCCAUUGUUUCCGAUCUGAACUGAAUCUCUCAUGUCUCGAUGCUACUAUAAGGGUAGGUUUACAACACAAAGUUAUGUUCUUUGCAUUCUUUCUGGAGUUGUGUUCCUUUUGAUUGGAAGUUACUGGCCAAUUGCUUACUGCUGGAAAAGAAAGGUGAGUCGCAACUUCGCUGCUACUCGUGGAAGUUGUGGCUUUUUUCAGUAUUGCAGAUUGUCUCCUGUUGGCAGCAUUGGGCGCAACGUUAACACUGGAAGCUCAAUAAUUAUUAUGAUUAUUACAUCGUGUGCUAUUAGUACCGCUAUGGACUAUGGUAGCUGUUGUUUUGAUGUUUUUGUGCUCCAGUGUUUUGUGUUGUUGUAGCAAAAAAACUGGAAGAAUUUGUCAGCUAGCUUAUGGAGACUGGAAAGAACUUUCCAUGAAACUAUAUAGAUUUAGUUACACAAUGACUACACAUGUACAAUGACUAAGUGUGAAGCUAAUGAACUC